rnacentral:rRNA from 1 species
CGUAUAUUAAAGUUGUUGCAGUUAAAAAGCUCGUAGUUGGAUUUGUGGCGUACGGUGUGUUCCGGGCACUUGUUGUCUGAGUAACCUGCUGUUGCCAUCCUUGGGUGGAACCUAUGUGGCAUUAGGUUGUCGUGCAGGGGAUGCCCAUCUUUUACUGUGAAAAAAUUAGAGUGUUCAAAGCAGGCUUAUGCCGUUGAAUAUAUUAGCAUGGAAUAAUGAGAUAGGACUUUUUUACUAUUUUGUUGGUUUGCGUAAAGAGGUAAUGAUUAAUAGGGACAGUUGGGGG